rnacentral:rRNA from 1 species
UCCAGACUCCUACGGGAGGCAGCAGUGAGGAAUAUUGGUCAAUGGGCUUACGCCUGAACCAGCCAAGUCGCGUGAGGGAAGACUGCCCUAUGGGUUGUAAACCUCUUUUGUCAGGGAGCAACGCCGGCUACGUGUAGCCGGACUGAGAGUACCUGAAGAAAAAGCAUCGGCUAACUCCGUGCCAGCAGCCGCGGUAAUACGGAGGAUGCGAGCGUUAUCCGGAUUUAUUGGGUUUAAAGGGUGCGUAGGCGGGCAUUUAAGCCGGCGGUCAAAUGUCGGGGCUCAACCCCGGCCUGCCGUCGGAACUGGGCGCCUUGAGUGGGCGAGAAGUAUGCGGAAUGCGCAGUGUAGCGGUGAAAUGCUUAGAUAUUGCGCAGAACUCCGAUUGCGAAGGCAGCAUACCGGCGGCGAUCUGACGCUGAGGCACGAAAGCGUGGGUAUCGAACAGGAUUAGAUACCCUAGUA